UUUACAAAAACGCUAUUUUUUAAGCUUUUUGCUCAACAUGUUGUAUUUUUGAAGAGAAAUAUCCAUAUUUCAGUGGUUAAAUUAAGUGGAAAAAGUAAAUAUAUAAUGAAAAGUUUUUUCCCCAUUUUGUUUGUUUGUUUGUUUGUUUAUUGUUUGUUUGAAAGCAGAGGGUGUGUUCUUUAAUUUGAUAUAAUUUGUAUGUUUAUAUAUUUAUAGAAGAUAAUUUUUCCUGCAAGGAAUUUUGUGAAACUUUUGUUAAAAUCCGAAAAAUGCAGGUGGGCAACUUUUCUCAAAAAGGCUGGCGGUGAAUGAGUAAAUGAAUAGUCUAACGAUUUAUAAUCGUUGUACUCUAUUGUUAUAUGUCUUUUUGACUGAAUACAUGUUUGUUUUAUUUGUCUAUAUCCUAGAUUCGCAGCUGGACACAUCCUUCUACACUGUAUGUAAACAUGCAACAUCAUUACACACAGUACAAGGAGUCAGACUGGCAUAUGAGGAGCAAAGGAACCUAGGCAGUAGCAUCGUUUCACAAUGUUUCCAUCACCAUCAUCUGUGGAUGCCUUUGCCGUCCGUAGCCUGAGAUUUCAGAUUUGCAGCAAAAAAAAUUAUUUUCUCAUUUAUUGGAAUGCUGUGCAGGUAUUUAAGUAUUUUAGUAACUGUGUUAAAUAAAGUAGUAUUUACUUUUACAAUAAAUUUAUUGCUUGUUUAUGUUUUUACAGGUUGUACCUUGCAGCUGCCAGCCAUCCAUUACAAUGUCACCAAGCUGUAACAAAAUCAGGAGAGGGAAAGUACAAGGCUAUGUUCCCAAAACACACAAGUGACAUACCUUAUGUGGAUGAUGUGAUCAGGCUUGUGUUUGAUAAGAUAUUUGAAGAUAAGCUGAAGGAAACCCCGAUUCCAAUGGACCUGGCAUCACAGUUUGAGAGACCUUCAAAGGAGGACGUGAUUGCAUGCCAUCUUCAGUGCAGGGGUCGUCGAAAGCAAACAUUGUGACUGAUCUGAUCAGGAAGCUCCAAGCAUAUCUGGAGAACAACACACGACAGGAUGAUAACCUUAUAGUGUCGUCUUAAAUAGCACCAGCUGACAAAGCUUUGAUAUGCCAUUUAUCUGAAUAGAUACCCUUGUGAAAAAAAAGUGUGCUUAAGUGUACUUUUAUAAACAUAAAAAGUAAAUAAUACACUUUAAGUAUAUACACUUAAGUGUGAAUUAAAUGCAAUCUUUUCGGCGCACUGAAUGCACAUUAAGUGUAAUUAAUUUCACAUAUAUCAUAUAUUAAGUUGAAAUAAAAUGUAACAAGUUGCCAUUAAGAGUGAUUUUUUGGAACAACUUAAUUGAUACUUUAUUACAACUUUAUAUCUACUUUCAUAAUUGCUUUUAGUGUUUUUAAAAUAUACUUAAAGUGCACUACACAAUAUAAUAACAUGAAAUUAAUGUGAUUUAAAAUGCAAUUUAAUGUCUGUUAACAAUACUCUUAAGUGUGAAUUGAAUGCAAUGGUUUCAGCGCACUGAAUGCACAUUAAAUGCAAUUA